UACAUGUGGGGCAAGCGUUGUUCGGAUUCAUUGGGCGUAAAGGGUGCGUAGGCGGCGCGGUAAGUCGGGUGUGAAAUCUCGGAGCUUAACUCCGAAACUGCAUUCGAUACUGCCGUGCUUGAGGACUGGAGAGGAGACUGGAAUUUACGGUGUAGCGGUGAAAUGCGUAGAUAUCGUAAGGAAGACCAGUGGCGAAGGCGGGUCUCUGGACAGUUCCUGACGCUGAGGCACGAAGGUCAGGGGAGCAAACGGG
rnacentral:rRNA from 1 species